rnacentral:tRNA from 4 species
AGCCCGCGUAGCUCAAUUGGCGGAGCACGUCAUUCGUAAUGAUGAGGUUGUCGGUUCGACUCCGAUCGCGGGCUU